UUCCCCACAGCCUGCCGUGGAGGUGCCCCAGUAUGUGGGUAUCCGGCUUCUAGUAGAGGGCUCCACCAUCAAGAAGCCCCUGGCGAUGUGUCACCGGCAAAUAGAAGUCCGCCCAGCCCUCCCUCACCUGCUGACCCAGCGAGGCUCUGGGGAAGGCAAGGACUCGGGAACCCUUACCCACAGCACGGCCCGGCUGCCUUCUCCCCGUGUGCUCCGACCCCAGGGGCGGGGCCUCAGACGGCAGCACAGCAGGCUGGUGGGCUCUGAGGCCCUGUCGACCCCAGGCAAGGCCUUGAUGACUCUACCUACUGCCAAGGUUUUGAUUUCCCUCCCACCUAACCCUGAGCUCAAGCUGGCACCCAACGCCCUGAAACCAAGAAAGGUGGGCCUCGAACGGUGACCCAUACCCUGGUGGGCAGUGCUGAGAACUGGGGUCAGGGCUGGAAGGGCACAGGUAGAGGGUAACUCCCAGGAUGGCCUGAGCCCCAGGGGAAGGGCUUGUAUCCCUCAGAACCCCCUUCCUGAACAGAUUCCUGAUCAUCUCUCCCCUUCUCUCCUCCUUUCACACCGAGGCUCUUGCUCCUCAGCGCUUUCAUGGUCCCCCACUUGGAAGUAACUUGUGGUCUCAACCCUUUGAAGUCGGAAAUCUUCCUAGCACCCAUAGGAAGAUGAAGGCCAAAGGCAAGUUCAAGGCCAGACUCUGCGACAAACCCAAGGCUGAGACAUGCCUCAUGACGACACGGAGCCUUCCGGGACCCCUGCCCCUUAUCAGUGCACACCAGGGUCUGGGGGGCAUGAGGGACGUGUGGCUACAGAAGUCCUUGCUUCAAUUGUCACUGCCCUUAUCCUGGACGCAGUGCCAAGUAAAAAAGCAAAUGAAGUAUUUGAGGCUUGGCUCCUUUUCUGUUAGAGGGUGAAGGGAGAUUCGGGUGCGGCUCUGUACCCCAAGGUACAGAACAAGAGCUAGAGGCCAUCAGCAACUCCUCCACAAAGCAAGGCCCAGAAUUCCCACCCAGUGACAGACAUGAGGCAUCCUGUCCAGGGACUCCCCAGGCAUCUCUGAUCUCGGGGUGGGAGGAUAAGUGUCAUGUUACAGAUGACGAAACGGAGUCUGAACGAGGAGACAUGGUUUGCCCAAGAUCCUGUGGCAGUGAACAGAAGGCUGGGACACAUUACCACGACUGCUGAGCCCUGCAGGUCUCCCCAGUCCCCAAGCCCAGAGGAGGAGCUGGGCUGGCAGCAAAAUGACAUCUAAUGGGCACAAGAUUUACAGCAGGAGACACAGCAGAAGAGUAGACCCAGCCCUUCUCCAGAUGAAGUGGGUCUCUCCCUUCCUCUGCAAGGGGCCAAGUUCACCUAAAAAGGAAAUAUUCAAUAAGCCACACCCAUCUGAAAAAGUUUGGUAUUUCUUAAUUGUAAUGGGUUGAACAUUGGUAUGUCUUCCCUUGGAAGACAUGAAUAUGUCCUGUGAAUAUGACUUUAUUUGGAAAAAAGGGUCUUUGUAGAUGUAAGUAUGUUAAAGAUUUUGAGAUGAGAUCAUCCUGGAUUAUCCAGAUGGGGCCUAAAUCCAAUGACAAGUGUCCUUACAAGAGACAAGAGAAGACAAACGAGGAGAAGGCCAUGUGGAGACAGAGGCAGAGACUGGUGUGAUGCAGCCACAAGCCAGGAAGAGGCAAGGACGGAUUCUCACCUAGAACCUUCAAGGAGAGCACAGCCCUGCUGACACCUUGAUUUUGGACUUCUGGCCUCCAGAACUGGGAGAGAAUCCAUUUCUGUUGUUUUAGGCCACGCAGGUUGUGGUAAUUUGUUGCAGCAGCAGCCCUAGGAAACUCACACACUAGUCAAAUGAAGAUACAUAUAUUCUGUAUAUUUAUGAACCCAUUCUUGUGCAGCUGAACCAGGAGAUGCGUACAGCAGGCUCACAGCAGCACUGUGGUAACAGCUGACGACCUAAGUGUCCAUUAACAGUCAGAUGGAUAGACUGCAAGCUCUGACGUUCCAACUCCACGCCGCACAACGGAUGCAUUUCACAGGAUAGAGCAAGAACAAGUCACAAAAGGAUAUAUGCAGCACAAUUCCAUUCCAACAGAAACU